rnacentral:rRNA from 1 species
UACGUAGGGUGCGAGCGUUAAUCGGAAUUACUGGGCGUAAAGCGUGCGCAGGCGGUUCGUUGUGUCGGCGGUGAAAGCCCCGGGCUCAACCUGGGAAUGGCCGUUGAAACUGGCGAGCUAGAGUGUGGCAGAGGGGGGUGGAAUUCCGCGUGUAGCAGUGAAAUGCGUAGAGAUGCGGAGGAACACCGAUGGCGAAGGCAGCCCCCUGGGCUAGCACUGACGCUCAGGCACGAAAGCGUGGGGAGCAAACAGG